ensembl:lncRNA
GCACACAGUGUGUUGUAGAUAUGUGGUAGUGGUGGAGAAGGGGCCUGAGGGCACACAGUGUGUUGUAGAUAUGUGGUAGUGGUGGAGAAGGGGCCUGAGGGCACACAGUGUGUUGUCGAUAUGUGGUAGAGGUGGAGAAGGGGCCUGAGGGCACACAGUGUGUUGUAGAUAUGUGGUAGAGGUGGAGUAGGGGCCUGAGGGCACACAGUGUGUUGUAGAUAUGUGGUAGAGGUGGAGUAGGGGCCUGAGGGCACACAGUGUGUUGUAGAUAUGUGGUAGAGGUGGAGUAGGGGCCUGAGGGCACACAGUGUGUUGUAGAUAUGUGGUAGUGGUGGAGUAGGGGCCUGAGGGCACACAGUGUGUUGUAGAUAUGUGGUAGUGGUGGAGUAGGGGCCUGAGGGCACACAGUGUGUUGUAGAUAUGUGGUAGUGGUGGAGUAGGGGCCUGAGGGCACACAGUGUGUUGUAGAUAUGUGGUAGAGGUGGA